UAUAUCACAAAAAUAGCACUCCAAAACUAAAAUGACCAAAAUAGCACUUUUCUAAGUUUAUCCUUUGAAAAUUUUAAUUUUUUUAUUUUUCAAAAUUUGAAAUCUUAUCCCCAAAACCUCAUUUCUCAACUCUAAACCCUAAACCCUAAACCCUAAACUCUAAACCCUAAACUCUAAACCCUAAACCCUAAACCAUAAACCCUAAAUCCUAAACCCCACCC
rnacentral:lncRNA from 1 species